rnacentral:rRNA from 1 species
CGCUGGCGGCAGGCUUAACACAUACAAGUCGAGCGCGUAGCAAUACGAGCGGCAGACGGGUGAGUAACGCGUGGGAAUCUACCCAUCUCUACGGAACAACUCCGGGAAACUGGAGCUAAUACCGUAUACGUCCUUCGGGAGAAAGAUUUAUCGGGGAUGGAUGAGCCCGCGUUGGAUUAGCUAGUUGGUGGGGUAAUGGCCUACCAAGGCGACGAUCCAUAGCUGGUCUGAGAGGAUGAUCAGCCACACUGGGACUGAGACACGGCCCAGACUCCUACGGGAGGCAGCAGUGGGGAAUAUUGGACAAUGGGCGCAAGCCUGAUCCAGCCAUGCCGCGUGAGUGAUGAAGGCCCUAGGGUUGUAAAGCUCUUUCACCGGUGAAGAUAAUGACGGUAACCGGAGAAGAAGCCCCGGCUAACUCCGUG